rnacentral:rRNA from 1 species
AACGAACGCUGGCGGCAUGCCUAACACAUGCAAGUCGAACGGGACCUUCGGGUUUAGGGGCGCAGGGGUGAGUAAGGACUGGGGACCUGCCCUUAGGUACGGAACAACUCCCCGAAAGAGGUGCUAAUACAGGAGAAGGUCUUCCGACAAAAGAUUUAUCGCCUUUGGCUGGGCCCGCGUUGGCUUCGCUAGUUGGUAGGGUAAAAGCCUCCCAAUGACACGAUGCAUACCUGGUAGUACAAGAAGAUCAGCCACACUUGGACUGAGACACGGCCCAGACUCCUACGGAUCGCGGCGGUGUUGUAUAUUGAGGUAUGUGCGAAACCGUGGCCCAGCAAUGUGGCGUAAGAGAUGAAGGCCUUAGGGUAGCAAAGCUCUUUUUCCCGGGAUGAUAAUGACAGUACCGGGAAAAUAAGCUCCGGCUAACUCCGUG